rnacentral:rRNA from 1 species
GACGAACGCUGGCGGCGUGCUUAACACAUGCAAGUCGAACGGUAAGGCCCUUCGGGGUACACGAGUGGCGAACGGGUGAGUAACACGUGGGUGAUCUGCCCUGCACUUCGGGAUAAGCCUGGGAAACUGGGUCUAAUACCGGAUAGGACCACUGCCUGCAUGGGUGGUGGUGGAAAGCUUUUGCGGUGUGGGAUGGGCCCGCGGCCUAUCAGCUUGUUGGUGGGGUGAUGGCCUACCAAGGCGACGACGGGUAGCCGGCCUGAGAGGGUGACCGGCCACACUGGGACUGAGAUACGGCCCAGACUCAUACGGGAGGCAGCAGUGGGGAAUAUUGCACAAUGGGCGCAAGCCUGACGCAGCGACGCCGCGUGAGGGAUGACGGCCUUCGGGUUGUAAACCUCUUUCAGCACCGACGAAGCGCAAGUGACGGUAGGUGCAGAAGAAGGACCGGCCAACUACGUGCCAGCAGCCGCCGUAA